AUACGGAGGAUGCGAGCGUUAUCCGGAUUUAUUGGGUUUAAAGGGAGCGUAGGUGGGAUAUUAAGUCAGCUGUGAAAGUUUGGGGCUCAACCUUAAAAUUGCAGUUGGUACUGGUUUCCUUGAGUACGGUACAGGUGGGCGGAAUUCGUGGUGUAGAGGUGAAAUGCUUAGAUAUCACGAAGAACUCCGAUCGCGAAGGCAGCUCACCGGGCCGGAACUGACACUGAUGCUCGAAAGUGCGGGUAUCAAACAGGAUUAGAUACCCUGGUAGUCCGCACAGUAAACGAUGAAUACUCGCUGUUUGCGAUACACUGUAAGCGGCCAAGCGAAAGCGUUAAGUAUUCCACCUGGGGAGUACGCCGGCAACGGUGAAACUCAAAUGAAUUGACGGGG
rnacentral:rRNA from 1 species